GGCGGACGUAGCCAAGUGGACCAAGGCAGUGGAUUUGAAUCCACCAUG
rnacentral:tRNA from 1 species